GGAUAUGAGGGCGAUCUGGUUGUGACAUCUGUCACCCCAUUGAUCCCCAGGGCUUAUUUGGCUGAUCUGGUUGGCUAGGUGGGUGUCCCCUUUCUCCCUCUCUGCUCCAUGGGCAUUCCCCAGAAGCUGCGCACUGGAUCAAAGAGGAUGACCUUCCUCACAUAGAGGGGCCCGGUCUUUGGUCAGGGGAGGACAUAUAGCUGCACUCUCCUGCUGGAACCUCCAAAUGACCUCUCAAGCUGGCCUUGAACUGAUCUUCCUGCCUCUGCCUUCCAACGUCUAGGAUUACAGGUGUGUGCCACCACACUCAGCUUGUUAGUUUGACCAACUGU
rnacentral:snRNA from 1 species